rnacentral:rRNA from 1 species
GGUUGAUCCUGCCAGUAUUCAUAUGCUUGUCUCAAAGAUUAAGCCAUGCAUGUCUAAGUAUAAACUUUUUUAUACAGUGAAACUGCGAAUGGCUCAGUAAAACAGUUUAAAUGUACGUGGAAAAUUCUUACUACUUGGAUAACCGUGGUAAUUCUAGAGCUAAUACAUGCAGAGAAGCCUCGACUUCGGAAGGGGUGCACUUAUUAGAUUAAACCAACGCUGGGGGUAGGCCAGUUGAUGAAUCAUAAUAAUUUGAACGAUCGCAACUUGAGCGACGAUCCACUCCAUUUU